rnacentral:rRNA from 1 species
CUGGAGGUAUCAGAAGUGCGAAUGCUGACGUGAGUAACGACAAAACGGGUGAAAAACCCGUUCGCCGAAAGACCAAGGGUUCCAGUCCAACGUUAAUCGGGGCUGGGUGAGUCGACCCCUAAGGCGAGGCCGAAAGGCGUAGUCGAUGGGAAAAUGGUUAAUAUUCCAUUACUUCUGUGUAAUGCGAUGAGAGGACGGAGAAGGCUAAAUCAGCCUGGCGUUGGUUGUCCAGGUGAAAGGAUGUAGGCAUGUAUCUUAGGCAAAUCCGGGGUACUCUAUGCUGAGAUCUGAUAGCAAGCUGUACUUGUACAGCGAAGUGGUUGAUGCCAUGCUUCCAGGAAAAGUCUCUAAGCUUCAGUUACACAGGAAUCGUACCCGAAACCGACACAGGUGGUCAGGUCGAGUAGACCAAGGCGCUUGAGAGAACUCUGCUGAAGGAACUAGGCAAAAUGGUACCGUAACUUCGGGAGAAGGUACGCUGUUGUUGGUGAUGGAACUCGCUUCCUGAGCUGACGACAGCCGCAGAAACCAGGCCGCUGCAACUGUUUAUUAAAAACAUAGCACUCUGCAAACACGAAAGUGGACGUAUAGGGUGUGAUGCCUGCCCGGUGCUGGAAGGUUAAUUGAUGGGGUUAGCGUAAGCGAAGCUCUUGAUCGAAGCCCCAGUAAACGGCGGCCGUAACUAUAACGGUCCUAAGGUAGCGAAAUUCCUUGUCGGGUAAGUUCCGACCUGCACGAAUGGCAUAAUGAUGGCGGCGCUGUCUCCAGCAGAGGCUCAGUGAAAUCGAAAUCGCUGUGAAGAUGCAGUGUACCCGCGGCUAGACGGAAAGACCCCGUGAACCUUUACUGCAGCUUGACACUGAACUUUGACCUUACUUGUGUAGGAUAGGUGGGAGGCUUUGAAGCUGGAACGCUAGUUCCAGUGGAGCCGUCCUUGAAAUACCACCCUGGUAAUGUUGAGGUUCUAACUCUGUCCCGUGAUCCGGGACGAGGACCGUGUCUGGUGGGUAGUUUGACUGGGGCGGUCUCCUCCUAAAGAGUAACGGAGGAGUACGAAGGUGCGCUCAGCGUGGUCGGAAAUCACGCGUAGAGUAUAAAGGCAAAAGCGCGCUUAACUGCGAGACCCACAAGUCGAGCAGGUACGAAAGUAGGUCUUAGUGAUCCGGUGGUUCUGUAUGGAAGGGCCAUCGCUCAACGGAUAAAAGGUACUCUGGGGAUAACAGGCUGAUACCGCCCAAGAGUUCAUAUCGACGGCGGUGUUUGGCACCUCGAUGUCGGCUCAUCUCAUCCUGGGGCUGAAGCAGGUCCCAAGGGUAUGGCUGUUCGCCAUUUAAAGAGGUACGCGAGCUGGGUUUAGAACGUCGUGAGACAGUUCGGUCCCUAUCUACCGUGGGCGCUGGAAAUUUGAGAGGAUCUGCUCCUAGUACGAGAGGACCAGAGUGGACGAACCUCUGGUGUACCGGUUGUGACGCCAGUCGCAUCGCCGGGUAGCUAUGUUCGGAAGGGAUAACCGCUGAAAGCAUCUAAGCGGGAAGCCUACCUCAAGAUAAGAUUUCCCUAGGACUUUAUGUCCUCUAAAGAGCCGUUCGAGACUAGGACGUUGAUAGGUUGGAUGUGGAAGCAUAGUGAUAUGUGAAGCUGACCAAUACUAAUUGCUCGUGAGGCUUGACUAU